GGAACAAGUCCUUCACGCCCCGUCCCUUCCUUGCUGCGCUCUGAGAAAUGAGGAAGGAGCUGAGAAGUCCCUUGCUCGCAGUGACACAGUCUGUUGAGCUUCCCAGCACAUCAGAGCCUGGCAAAGGGAGCUGAGGAUGUGUUGGACUUUGCUGCUGAUGGUCUUACAGAUGGAUGCAGUCCUUUCCAACUCCAACCUGAUCAUCCUGCAGGCAGUACAGGAAGCCCGGGAGGGUGACACGGUGAGGCUGGCCUGCAGAAGCAGCCAGCAGCAGGAUCAGCGCUCGCUAACCUGGGGCUACGUGCCAGCGGCCAACUCCACCAUCAAAUGGAUCAUGUCCCUGAGCCCGGGGUCGACUAACUUCACCCGGCUGGCCGGGUUUGAGCCCCGUUUCUCCGGCGCCAAUGGCAGUGAAUUCACUUUAACCAUCGGGCAGCUGAAACGGACCGACUCCAUGAGGUUUUACUGUCAAAGUAAGGACGUUGUGGCGAAGGCGAAGGACUGGUGUGGCUGUGCGGUGACCCUCAACGUGAAACCAGUCAUUCCACCGAGGCCACCUUCCGUUCGCCUCCUCCAGCCAUCGCCCAAGCAAAUUUCCCCGCAGGGGGGCUGCAGACUGGCCUGUGUGGUGAGUGAUUUCUACCCGGACGCCGUCUCCGUGUCUUGGUACAUUGGCAGCGCGCGGCUCUCCUCGGGCAUUUCCAGCUCCGGGAUACUGACGGAGUCGGAAGGGAGUUACACCAUCAUCAGCGAGCUGACGGUGCCAGCGCUUCAGUGGCUACGUGGUCUUCAAUACACCUGCCUAGUUUCACACACAACCCUGCCUUCCCCCAUCAGAAGAGUGAUCAGUAAAGACGGCCCGAUUCUGCCAUCCAUCUACAUGUUCCCUCCAACUUUUGAAGAGAUUGAUGUGAGGAAAACUGCAACAAUUGUGUGUCUGGCUGUUGGAUUUUACCCCAAAAGUAUUUUGUUUAGCUGGCUGGUUAACAACGAUAAAACUGUGUUUAGUUCGAAAACUCUUCCACCAACUUUAAACACAAAUGGGAGUUACACUUCCAGAAGUGAGUUAACAGUCACUGCGGAUGAGUGGGAAUCUGGAUCUUUGUACACUUGCCAAAUUCAACACGUUUCAAUGUCAUCUCCUAUAAGGCACAGUUUGAGGAAAAGAACUGAUGGCUUCAUUCAGAAGCCUGUGAUCCACCUGAUCGCUCCUCUGUCUGACGCUGCCUCUGCAGGACAAAAUGUUACCAUGACUUGCUUGGUGUCAGACUUUUACCCUGCCGAUAUUUCUGUGACUUGGAGAGAUGAGAAUGGCCCAGUGGAUAUGGGAGUGACCCAGUUUGCGGUAGUUUUGGGCAGUGCCAGCGCUUACCGAACAGUGACCCAGUUGACCGUGCCGACAGCAGAAUGGGAGAGUAACCGCACCUACUGCUGUGAAGUGAAACAUGUGUCCCUGGGACAGGCACUGCAGAGAGCUGUCACUAAGGAUCUGGGGAUAUCCAGUGGAUCCCCAAGGAUAAUGGUUCCUCUGUGCAUUGUGGCUGCUGUUAGUGGUUUGCUUUUAAUUAUCACUGCUGUUACAAUGAUCUGCAAGAAAGCCAUUUCUUCGUCUGGCACUGAGACUGCAAAUUUCAGUGAGAUGCUGAGCCUGAACACCAGACAGGAAUCCUUCUACGAAAACGUCUAUCAUAAGACCUCCAAGGAAGAAGCAUCAAGAAACACUGUCUGAGCAGAGUUUUGACAGAUGAGGAACAGACAGAAAGAGACAUCUUGAAACGUAUAAUGGACUGCUAUCAACUGAUUGAACAGUUAAAAGUGCCACACCUUCAGGGCCAGAAGCCAGGAGUCUCACGUCUCCCAAAACCUGUUGUCUUGCUUGUCCAACUUCACAGCAAAUCAUCAACUAUCGAACUACAGAAGAUAUCACAGCUACUGGAUCUGACUUCAAGUGUCAAUCUCUUCACUUCAGCACCAAUGAACUGAAGCAACGGAACCCAAAGAAUCAGCAGUGGGACUCAUCUUUUGUCUUGGGUGUAUUUAUUUAAUUCUUGAUGUUUCUAAGUUCUUCUUAAUAACUUUCUUUAUUCAUAAGGAAAUGUCACAUGCAAUAAACUAACCUUUAACUUGUUUAAGAAAAA